GAAACGCCGGCCUCGGUGACAGGCUGACGAGGCCCGACCCGAUCAGACGGCUUUGAAAGGAAAUUCUGACAGGGCGGCGGAGACAGAAGAAGCAGGCAGAAUGCAGAUCAGCCGCCAUGAUGAGACUCAGAAGCCUAGCAUUAAUUUCUGAGGACGUGGACAAGCAACGCUUCCAAGGAACGCAGGAAACAAGAGG